GGCCUCAGAAGCUCUGCUAUCCACAGGCAGGUGAGAUAUUACCUUCCCUACCACCUGGCAGUCAUAGUCUAUGAUGCGACUCAGCUUUGUGGAAGUGCUUCUCUAAAGAACUUCCCCCAAUUUAAGAUGAUCUUAAUUUGCUUACUUGUUUACUGUCCAUUCAGCUGCUCUAAAAUGUGAGCUCCAAAUCAGGGGCCAUGUCUGCUUGGUUACCCAUUUCCUGGGACCUAGAACGGGCCUAGCUCAGAGCAGGUGCUCACUAUUGAUGGAAUGCAUGUUGAAAGAAUGCGUGAAUCUCAUCUCCUUUUGUGGGUGAAAAUCUCAUCCUAUUCUCACUCCUGAUUAACUUUCUUUCUUUUUUUUUUUUUUCAAAAUGGAGCCCUGAUCUGUCACCCAGGCUGCAGUGCAAUGGUGCAAUCUUGGCUCGCUGCAACCUCUGCCUUCUGGAUUAAAGCAAUUCUCCUGCCUCAGCCUCCUGGGUAGCUGGGAUUACAGGUAGAAGUUGCUGGUCCCAUCUUGCUCACAAUCCUCCAAAGUUUGAAAGUUAUUUUCCAGGAGACUUGGCUUGCACUGAGAGCUGCCCUCCCACCCUCUCUCCAAAUUUCCUCUUGGGGGUAGCCUAACAAGGUGCUGUCACAGACCCUUGUCAGCCACUAUGACCCCACCCAGACCAUCCCUCUGCUGUUUCACUCUUUGAUAGUCUCUGGAGCUCUCUGGGGAGGGGU
rnacentral:lncRNA from 1 species